UAUUACAAGGUAAAUGUCGCGAAAAAAU
rnacentral:sRNA from 1 species